rnacentral:rRNA from 1 species
AGUGAACGCUGGCGGCGUGCUUAACACAUGCAAGUCGAACGGAUGAAAUAAGCUUGCUUAUUUCGUUAGUGGCGCACGGGUGAGUAAUGUAUAGCUAACCUGCCCUUUAGUGGGGGACAACAGUUGGAAACGACUGCUAAUACCCCAUAUUCCUUCUUAUCAUAAGGUAAGUUGGGAAAGAUUUAUUGCUAAAGGAUGGGGCUUUAUGGUAUCAGCUAGUUGGUGGGGUAACGGCCUACCAAGGCUAUGACGCCUACCUGGUCUGAGAGGAUGAUCAGGCACACUGAAACUGAGACACGGUCCAGACUCCUACGGGAGGCAGCAGUGGGGAAUAUUGCACAAUGGAGGAAACUCUGAUGCAGCAACGCCGCGUGGAGGAUGACGCAUUUCGGUGUGUAAACUCCUUUUAUAAGGGAAGAUAAUGACGGUACCUUAUGAAUAAGCACCGGCUAACUCCGUG